rnacentral:rRNA from 1 species
GUGGAUUAGAUACCCUGGUAGUCCACGCCGUAAACGAUGGAUACUAGGUGUGGGAGGUGUCGACUCCUUCCGUGCCGAAGCUAACGCAUUAAGUAUCCCGCCUGGGGAGUACGGCCGCAAGGCUAAAACUCAAAGGAAUUGACGGGGGCCCGCACAAGCAGCGGAGCAUGUGGUUUAAUUGGACGCAACGCCAAGAACCUUACCUGGGCUUGACAUGUUCCUGACCCCCCUGGAAACAGGGGUUCCCUUAGGGGCAGGAUCACAGGUGGUGCACGGCUGUCGACAACU